rnacentral:rRNA from 1 species
AACAGGAUUAGAUACCCUGGUAGUCCAUGCCGUAAACGAUGAUUACUAAGUGUUGGAGGGUUUCCGCCCUUCAGUGCUGCAGCUAACGCAUUAAGUAAUCCGCCUGGGGAGUACGACCGCAAGGUUGAAACUCAAAAGAAUUGACGGGGGCCCGCACAAGCGGUGGAGCAUGUGGUUUAAUUCGAAGCUACGCGAAGAACCUUACCAGGUCUUGACAUCUUCUGACAGUCUAAGAGAUUAGAGGUUCCCUUCGGGGACAGAAUGACAGGUGGUGCAUGGUUGUCGUCAGCUCGUGUCGUGAGAUGUUGGGUUAAGUCCCGCAACGAGCGCAACCCUUAUUACUAGUUGCCAGCAUUAAGUUGGGCACUCUAGUGAGACUGCCGGCGACAAACCGGAGGAAGGUGGGGACGACGUCAAAUCAUCAUGCCCCUUAUGACCUGGGCUACACACGUGCUACAAUGGAUGGUACAACGAGUCGCGAAACCGCGAGGUUAAGCUAAUCUCUUAGAACCAUUCUCAGUUCGGACUGUAGGCUGCAACUCGCCUACACGAAGUCGGAAUCGCUAGUAAUCGCGGAUCAGCAUGCCGCGGUGAAUACGUUCCCGGGCCUUGUACACACCGCCCGUCACACCAUGAGAGUUUGUAACACCCAAAGCCGGUGGGGUAACCUUUUAGGAGCUAGCCGUCUAAGGUGGGACAGAUGAUUAGGGUGAAGUCGUAACAAGGUAACC